UUAACUCACGUCUGUAUGGAUUUGGAACGAUUGUCUACGUUUGCCGUUAGGGGCGCUGUUCCAACCACAUACCAAUUUGAGCUA
rnacentral:pre_miRNA from 1 species